GACGAACGCUGGCGGCGUGCUAACACAUGCAAGUCGAACGCUGAAACCAGAUGCUUGCAUUUGGUGGAUGAGUGGCGAACGGGUGAGUAACACGUGGGUGAUCUGCCCUACACUUUGGGAUAAGCCUGGGAAACUGGGUCUAAUACCGAAUAUUCACACCACCGUAGGGGUGGUGUGGAAAGCCUUGUGCGGUGUGGGAUGAGCCUGCGGCCUAUCAGCUUGUUGGUGGGGUAAUGGCCUACCAAGGCGUCGACGGGUAGCCGGCCUGAGAGGGUGUACGGCCACAUUGGGACUGAGACACGGCCCAGACUCCUACGGGAGGCAGCAGUGGGGAAUAUUGCGCAAUGGGCGCAAGCCUGAUGCAGCGACGCCGCGUGGGGGAUGACGGCCUUCGGGUUGUAAACUCCUUUCGCUAGGGACGAAGCCUAUGGUGACGGUACCUGGAGAAGAAGCACCGGCUAACUACGUGCCAGCCGCCGCAGUAAAAC
rnacentral:rRNA from 1 species